rnacentral:lncRNA from 1 species
AACAGGACGGGGCGGGGCCGGGACCGGGGCUAGAAGGAAGGAGGGUCUCUGUUCCCGUCCCGCUUGCCCCCACAAUUCCGACGGGAGAUGCUCUAGGCUGCCACCGGCCCCGGCGCUGGCUCCAGCUGCGGUCCUGACCCUGCUCCCACGAAGGGGACCGAGCGCCCAAUCAAUAAAGUGGGAAGAAAAAGACAAGAAAAUGACGUUUGACUUUGACCAUAGCCCCCCACCAGGGUAAAUUCUUCCCUUUUGCUUUGUGAACAUUCAUCUGCCGUCUCUGGGGGGGUAGGGUUUGUAGACAGGAGUGGGAACUAUAGAUGGCCUCAUUGGACAAGUAGAAAAAGGUAAGUGUCGACUUAGGGGCCUGGAUUCUCACGGUGGUCAAGAAAUGUGUAAAUGAGCAUAGAAAGUCGAAGAUGGUCAGUUGGAGAGAUGUUAAUGAGCAUGAGGUAAAGACUGGGCAGGGAGAUAGAUUGGCACACCGAGUCCUAGAGGCAGGUCAUUAGCAAGUUCCGAGGUAAUUGCACCUGGGUAAACUGAGGGGUAUGAUAGCUGACUAUCUCUAGGGGAACCGUGUGAUAGGCAGCAUCUCAUUCCACCCUGUACCACCUGCCUGUUCUAGGG